rnacentral:rRNA from 1 species
CGCGCGUGGGGCGGAAACGACACUAACAAUCCUUCGGGUGCGUUAAUGGGCGUCGAGCGGCGGACGGGUGAGUAAUGCCUAGGAAAUUGCCUUGAUGUGGGGGAUAACCAUUGGAAACGAUGGCUAAUACCGCAUAAUGCCUACGGGCCAAAGAGGGGGAUCUUCGGACCUCUCGCGUCAAGAUAUGCCUAGGUGGGAUUAGCUAGUUGGUGAGGUAAUGGCUCACCAAGGUGACGAUCCCUAGCUGGUCUGAGAGGAUGAUCAGCCACACUGGAACUGAGACACGGUCCAGACUCCUACGGGAGGCAGCAGUGGGGAAUAUUGCACAAUGGGCGAAAGCCUGAUGCAGCC